CUGGGGCAGGUCCUCGCGUAGAACCUGGCUGUCAGAUCUGCUACUUCCCCCCGAGAAGCGGCUUUGAGAAGUGUGGGAACCAGCGCCACCAGGCUCACCUGCCACCCCACCCUCGGCUCACAGGGAUCUGAGAAUUGCUCUCACACACCAACCCAGCAGCGUCCGUGGAGAAAACUCUCACGAGCAACUACUCCUUUUAAAUACCGUCAUUUCAAACCGUUGUGGUCUUUAAGCAACAACAGGGGGGGAAAACCCAAAA